rnacentral:rRNA from 1 species
UACGAGUGCCUCGAGCGUUAUCCGGAAUCAUUGGGCGUAAAGGGUGUGUAGGUGGUCGCGUUAGUCUCUCGUUAAAUUCUUCGGCUUAACCGGGGGUCUGCGGGGGAAACGGCGCGACUUGAGGAUGCGAGGGGUCUGCGGAACUCAUAGUGUAGCGGUGAAAUGCGUUGAUAUUAUGGGGAACACCAAAAGCGAUGGCAGCAGACUGGAGCACUCCUGACACUGAAACACGAAAGCGUGGGUAGCGAAUGGG